GUACACGCUGUGACUAGCAUAUCAAUAAGCGGAGGAAAAGAAACUAACAAGGAUUCCCCUAGUAACGGCGAGUGAAGCGGGAAGAGCUCAAAUUUGAAAUCUUAAAGGGUUUCCCUUUACGAAUUGUAGUUUAAAGAAGUGUUUUCUGUUGAGGUUUUGGUAAAAGUUCUUUGGAAUAGGACAUCAUAGAGGGUGAGAAUCCCGUAUUUGACCUUUACUUUCAACUUUGUGAUACACUUUCAAAGAGUCGGAUUGUUUGGGAAUGCAGUCCAAAAUGGGUGGUAAAUUUCAUCUAAAGCUAAAUAUUGGCGAGAGACCGAUAGCGAACAAGUACCGUGAGGGAAAGAUGAAAAGAACUUUGAAAAGAGAGUUAAACAGUACGUGAAAUUGUCAAAAGGGAAGCGUUUGACACCAGUGUUGUUUUUCUGAAAAUCAAUUAAAGAACUGUUUAUGCUAAGCUGUUUAGACUUUAUCAGCUAUACUGUUUAGUUUUGAGCUUUUCUUUAAUGCACUUUUCAGUUAACAAGUCAACAUCAAUUUCUUUUGCUGUAAAAAGCUUGAGGAAGGUGGCUUGAGAUUCGUCUUAAGUGUUUAUAGCCUCUUGCCUAUGCAGUCGGAGAGAUUGAGGUCUGCAGCGUAGAUCCUUCGGGGCUAAAUGCAUUUGUGCUAAGUUAUAGCAUUUUAUAGACAACUUGUUGACUAUGAUUUGUCUUGUAGCUUACUCGCUUAUGUUAUUUUACCUACGCUUAGGAUGUUGACUGAUAUGUAGUCGUA
rnacentral:rRNA from 1 species